ACCCGUUCUCAUCAGUCUGCGUAUAAAUAACACGACUUUACACUUUCUAUUUGCGUGUAAUGCAUACGCCAAAUGCCAUUUUUGCGUGCAUAUGAUACGCCAAUCCUUCCCAUUAAUUUCGGUGGAGAGCAGAUGCGUCCAAAUAACACGCAUCAUCUUCAGCGGCAGUGACGUCACCAGCGAGGCUCGUUCAGUUCACCUGAUGCGCGUACACCUUCAAACAGGUAAGCAAGGUUACGUCGGAUUACAUACUCCACAACAACCUGUAAUCCAUCAGAUCUUUAAAGAAGCCAUCUCUUGUAAAAUCUCUCUCUCGCUCUGCUAGAAUUAACAGGGAACUUCAACUCCACGCUCCCAAUGCUGAUAUUGAAGAAGCUGUCAAGGGGGCUGAACAAGUCCUUCAAAGGAUCAACCCUUCACAGGAAGGCCUGUCAUGAGAUUUGAAUUUGACCAUCUUGUGCAUUUAUGAAGAAGACCAAAAGCUGCAAAGGCAAACACUUCCAAUGGCAGAAACUGAGAGUUUGCAUGAUGGCAUUUUCUCAGACGCUGAAUCUGAUGUGUACAGAUGAACUCAGGAGCCUACUAGAGUUGCCAAGGAACUUGUGCUUGAACUGAAGACCAGAAACGCAAAGAAAAUCAGUCAAACCAGUCCUAAAGAAAUGAGGAAUGAACAUGGACUUCUUGUGCCCCAAAAGAAAAGACAGAAAGCUCCUAAAAUGAGCAAAUAAGCUGUGCAUCAUCUCUGUGAUUUGGAAAGGAAAUGACUGAAUAUGAUGAAGCCAGUUGAUGAAGAUAUCAAUUGAAUGGCCACCGAGUGCAUCACUGCUACCUGAACCCAUCAGUUAUCUGCUGUGAAGACUGCAUUCACAAACCGCUCUACUGCGACAGCUCAGAUGUUACGGCCUGUAAAAGUAAACAUCACAGCUAAACAACGAGAGCUAGUUGUGGUGGGAUUCUUUUGGCCAAUAUCCCCAACAAGAAUCAAUGUUAAGUCCAGUGCAACAAUUAUAAAUAAAAAUACUAUAUAUUGUUUAUUGAUUUACCAUACCCUAAAUACAUGUUUUGGCCCUCCAGGACAUCUAGACCAGGUGGAGUGUGAGGAGGACCGUCAGAGACUCCAGCCAGCCGAGCCAUGGAUUGCUCUCACUGUUACCAUCAGGCAGACGUUAUCACAGAACCUACACCAGCAGACAGUGAGACAAGUUCCUUUCACAGGCAAUCAGACUGAACUGAACUCAUACCAGUAAAACCAUACACGCCCCACCAACCUCAUAUGCCCUGCACUCUUAUCAGUUAUGCUGACUGGACUCAAUAUUAUUAUGCACCCUGACAUUCUGUUUGCACUAAUUCAUACCGUGCUUUACUGCAGAGAUGUAUGUGUACUGUGAUUAUUAUUGUUUUCAAUUCAUGCUCUCUGUAUAGCAUAAUUUUUAACAUAUAUUGUUCUCUACCUGAAUUGAGUCCCUUAUAUAUGUGUGUUGCAUAUAUAUAUUCAGAAUUUGUAUUACAUAUAUUCAUGAUUUUAAUUCAUUUGUCAUCCAUACUGUCACGCUGCAGUCUGCACCCAAGACUUUCAUCACCUGUAUACUUGUGUUCAUUGUAUUGUGACAAUAAAGAUAUUUGAUUUAAAUUA